GAAAGGCUCCAAUCUGGAUAAAGCCGAUGAGCACCAGAGUCUAUUGGGUCAUCUUGGUAGGGAAAGGAAAAAGGCUUUACAGAAAGGGCUUGCAAGCGUUCUUCUAAAGAGAUCAGGGAAAAAAAGGAAUCAUCAGAAAGAGAAAAAUGUGAGUUAGCAGAUAAAGAGUGAAGCUUUAAUCUUGAACCAAUCCAUUUUUACCCCAUGGAGGCCGAUAUUCUCUAAAGUGACUUCCGCAUCAGGUUGUAUCUUAGGGGAAUUUCUAGGAAUAUGUUCAAUAGAUAAACUACCAGAAUUUUCAAGUGAAAAACUACUAACUUACUGUUUUUAGGUGGCCUCUGUGACCUGAUUCAUUUCAAAUGUGUUUUUAAGGAAAAAGAUUUUUUUUUAAACUGUGGUGUUAAUAUACACAACUAAACAUAUGCCAAUCCCAUAAUUUCUACAUAUAUAUUAUUGACAUUGAUUACAUUUUUCAGAUUUUGCAACCACUCUCACUAUCCUUUUCCAAAUUAUUCCAUCACCAUUAACGUAAACUCAAUGUCUCCUAAGCAAAAACUCCCCAUUUCCUGCUCCCUUCCACCCCUGGUAACUAAUAAUUUUUGGUUUCCAUUAUAUACUUCCUUCCCACUCGUCUGUCAGUCUGUCAGUGGAAUGAAGGAUGCCAUUGCUGAUAUCAGAGGAUCUUGGCUGAAAGCAGAGAAUAGCAGAAAGAUGUUUACCUGUGUUUUAUUGACUACAAAAAGGCAUUUGACUGUGUGGAUCAUAACAAGUUAUGGAUAAUAUUGCGAAGGCUGGGAAUUCCAGAACAUGUAGUUGUGCUCAUGUGAAUUCUGUACCUAGACCAAGGGGCAGUCACGGGAAUAGAACAAGGGGAUAUUAUGUGGUUUAAAAUCAGGAAAGGUGUGCAUCAGGGUUGUAUCCUUUCACCAUACAUAUUCAAACUGUAUGCUGAGUAAAUAAAUGGAGGAGCUGGACUGUACAAAGAAGAAUGAGGCAUCAGGAUUAGAGGAAGACUCAUUAGCAACCUGCCAUAUGCAGAUGACACAGCCUUGCUUGCUGAAAGUGAAGAGGACUUGAAGCACUUACUAAUGAAGAUCAAAGAGUACAGCCUUUAGUAUAGAUUACAUCUGAACAUAAAGAAAACGAAAAUUCUCACAACUGGACCAAUAAGCAACAUCAUGAUAAACAGAGAAAAGAUCGAAGUUGUCAGGAAUUUCAUUUUAUUUAUUUGCACAAUCAAUGUCCAUGGAAGCAGCAGUCAAGCAAUCCAAGGAUUUAUCUGCUGCAGAAGAUGUCUUUAAAGCCUUAAAAAGCAAAGAAGUCACUUUGAGGACUAAAGUGUGCUUGACUAGGCCAUGGUAUUUUCAAUUGCUUCAUGUGCAUGUGAAAGCUGGACAAUGAAUAAGGAAGUCCGAAGAAUUGAUGCCUUUGAAUUAUGGUGUUGGUGAAGAAUAUUGAAUAUUCCAUGGACCGCCAGAACGAACAAAUCUGUCUUGGAAUAAGUACUGCCAGAAUGGUUCUUAGAAGUGAGGAUGGCAAAACUUCAUCUCAUGUACUUUGGGCAUGUUAUCAGGAGGGACCAGUCCCUGGAGAAAAAUAUCACGCUUUGUAAAGUAGAGGGUCAGCGAAGAAGAUUAAGACCCUCAGUGAAAUGGACUGACACAGUGGCCACAGUAAUGGGCUUUAUCAUAGCAAUGAUUGUGAGGAUAGCACGGGAGCAGGCAGUGUUUCAUUAUGUUGUACGUAGGGUCACUAUGAUUAGGAACUGACCGGACAGCACCUAACAACAACAACACAUAUUUCCUUACUUUGUUUAAGUGAGAUCAUAUGGUAUUGGUCCUUUCGCAACUGACUUAUUUUACUCAUCAUGAUGUUUUCAAGGUUCAUCCACGUUGUGGCAUGCAUCAUGACUUCAUUUCUCUUUAUGGUUGAGUAAUAUUCCAUUUUGUCUAUCCAUUCAUGUUGACAGACAUUUCAGUUGUUUCCACAUUUUGGCUGUUGUGAAAGUGCUGCAAUGAACAUUGGUGUGCAAGUUUCUGUUUACAUUUCUGCUUUCACUUCUGGGUAUAUACCUAGAACUGGGACUGAUGGGUCAUGUGGUAGUUCUAUGAUCAUUUUUUUUUUUUAGAAACCACUAAUCUGUUUUUGUUUGUUUUUUAAGUACUUUAUGCCAUUGUAUUUUUGUUUUCAGAUGCUGUUGAGUGGAUUUCAACUCAUAGUGACUCCAUGUGACAGAGUAGAACUGCCGAACAGAGUUUUCUCGGCUGUAAUCUUUUCAGAAGCAAAUGGUCAGGUCUUUCUCCUGUGGAGCAACUGGACCUUUUUUACAGAAGACAGAAGCUGGAUUCCUGCUGAUUUGAAGGAGCAAAAGCAGCCUUACCUCGUGCACCCAGCCCUUUCCUUCACCCUGGAGAAUAUGCCCAGAAAAGGUGGAUUUUGAGAAUAGAGCCAAUAAAACAAAACAAAAACAGAAGUGCAACUCUAG